rnacentral:sRNA from 1 species
UAAUCAUAUUUAAAUACCAAA